GUGCAUGUGGCUGAGUCGGAUAAGGCGGUGGACUGAAGUUCCAUAUGGGUUCAAACCCCAACGCAACU
rnacentral:tRNA from 1 species